GGCAUGGAGGUGGAAGAAAGGAAGAAGGAAGGUGGCAUUAAAAAUAAGUUGGGCACCUUAAAGAAGCUGUCCCACAUAUCUCACACUAAACCUCUUCACAUCUACACUAUUUUUGUCACACAAAACCAAAUCCCCCUGCCCAACCACUUCCUAACACCCUAAUAGAUCUAAUCUCAUUUGAUCUUAAACAUUCAAAUCAAAAGAAAGAGAUAAGAUGCAUUGAGAAAAGGUUGUGCAGCAAGAAAGAAAAACUCUUUUGAUAUUAGCGCAUGCCUUCCUUUUUUCUUGAUUUUUGUCAACAAAAAUCAAUUCCCAUGCCCCCUUUUAAUCAGAUUAGAAUCUCUUUUAGAUAAGACAUCUAUUCAAAUCAAAUUUGGAUAGAUGUCUUAAUGUCAAGGAGUCCCAGAAAGAUGGGGCGCCAACUAUUGGCACCCCUCCAUCCUUCACGCAUGCAAAAAUAAAAAGGGGACGUAUUUCCACAUGCGCCCUUCUCUUUUCUAUGUGAUAUCUAGAGAGAGAGUCUUAGAGAAUCUAGACUGUAUGAGUCAUAGUUCAUCUGAUUCAAAUUGGAUCUUAAUUGGAUUCAAACUGAGUCUGAAUCG
rnacentral:lncRNA from 1 species